GACGAACGCUGGCGGCGUGCUUAACACAUGCAAGUCGAACGGAAAGGCCCUGCUUUUGUGGGGUGCUCGAGUGGCGAACGGGUGAGUAACACGUGAGUAACCUGCCCUUGACUUUGGGAUAACUUCAGGAAACUGGGGCUAAUACCGGAUAGGAGCUCCUGCUGCAUGGUGGGGGUUGGAAAGUUUCGGCGGUUGGGGAUGGACUCGCGGCUUAUCAGCUUGUUGGUGGGGUAGUGGCUUACCAAGGCUUUGACGGGUAGCCGGCCUGAGAGGGUGACCGGCCACAUUGGGACUGAGAUACGGCCCAGACUCCUACGGGAGGCAGCAGAGGGGAAUAUUGCACAAUGGGCGGAAGCCUGAUGCAGCAACGCCGCGUGCGGGAUGACGGCCUUCGGGUUGUAAACCGCUUCCGCCUGUGACGAAGCGUGAGUGACGGUAAUGGGUAAAGAAGCACCGGCUAACUACGUGCCAGCAGCCGCGGUGAUACGUAGGGUGCGAGCGUUGUCCGGAUUUAUUGGGCGUAAAGGGCUCGUAGGUGGUUGAUCGCGUCGGAAGUGUAAUCUUGGGGCUUAACCCUGAGCGUGCUUUCGAUACGGGUUGACUUGAGGAAGGUAGGGGAGAAUGGAAUUCCUGGUGGAGCGGUGGAAUGCGCAGAUAUCAGGAGGAACACCAGUGGCGAAGGCGGUUCUCUGGGCCUUUCCUGACGCUGAGGAGCGAAAGCGUGGGGAGCGAACAGGCUUAGAUACCCUGGUAGUCCACGCUGUAAACGGUGGGUACUAGGUGUGGGGUCCAUUCCACGGGUUCCGUGCCGUAGCUAACGCUUUAAGUACCCCGCCUGGGGAGUACGGCCGCAAGGCUAAAACUCAAAGGAAUUGACGGGGCCCCGCACAAGCGGCGGAGCAUGCGGAUUAAUUCGAUGCAACGCGUAGAACCUUACCUGGGUUUGACAUGGAUCGGGAGUGCUCAGAGAUGGGUGUGCCUCUUUUGGGGUCGGUUCACAGGUGGUGCAUGCCUGUCGUCAGCUCGUGUCGUGAGAUGUUGGGUUAAGUCCCGCAACGAGCGCAACCCUUGUUCACUGUUGCCAGCACGUUAUGGUGGGGACUCAGUGGAGACCGCCGGGGUCAACUCGGAGGAAGGUGGGGAUGACGUCAAGUCCUCAUGCCCCUUAUGUCCAGGGCUUCACGCAUGCUACAAUGGCUGGUACAGAGAGUGGCGAGCCUGUGAGGGUGAGCGAAUCUCGGAAAGCCGGUCUCAGUUCGGAUUGGGGUCUGCAACUCGACCUCAUGAAGUCGGAGUCGCUAGUAAUCGCAGAUCAGCAACGCUGCGGUGAAUACGUUCCCGGGGCU
rnacentral:rRNA from 1 species